GACGAACGCUGGCGGCGUGCUUAACACAUGCAAGUCGAACGGAAAGGCCCUGCUUUUGUGGGGUGCUCGAGUGGCGAACGGGUGAGUAACACGUGAGUAACCUGCCCUUGACUUUGGGAUAACUUCAGGAAACUGGGGCUAAUACCGGAUAGGAGCUCCUGCUGCAUGGUGGGGGUUGGAAAGUUUCGGCGGUUGGGGAUGGACUCGCGGCUUAUCAGCUUGUUGGUGGGGUAGUGGCUUACCAAGGCUUUGACGGGUAGCCGGCCUGAGAGGGUGACCGGCCACAUUGGGACUGAGAUACGGCCCCGACUCCUACGGGAGGCAGCAGUGGGGAAUAUUGCACAAUGGGCGGAAGUCUGAUGCAGCAACGCCGCGUGCGGGAUGACGGCCUUCGGGUUGUAAACCGCUUUCGCCUGUGACGAAGCGUGAGUGACGGUAAUGGGUAAAGAAGCACCGGCUAACUACGUG
rnacentral:rRNA from 1 species